AAAAAUUUAGUUAAAUAAAUAACAUUAGCUUGUCAAGCUGAAAUUAUUAUAAUAAUAAUAAUUUUUA
rnacentral:tRNA from 1 species